AGCAUCCGUAGCCGGCUGCUCAAGUUUCCGGUUAAAUCCACACGCUUAACGUAUGGGCUGCCGGAAAUACUGUUCAGCUAGGGAGUGGGAGAGGUAGACGGUACUCGAUAGGAAGGGGUAAAAUCCUUUGAUCUAUUGAUGACCACCUGUGGCGAAGGCGGUCUACCAGAACACGUUCGACGGUGAGGGAUGAAAGCUGGGGGAGCAAACCGGAUUAGAUACCCGGGUAGUCCCAGCUGUAAACGAUGCAGACUCGGUGAUGCAUUGGCUUAUGGCCAGUGCAGUGCCGCAGGGAAGCCGUUAAGUUUGCCGCCUGGGAAGUACGUACGCAAGUAUGAAACUUAAAGGAAUUGGCGGGGGAGCACAAGCCGA
rnacentral:rRNA from 2 species